UAAACACCCCCAGCUCCCUCAGCCGCUCCUCAAGAGAACUUGUGUUCCAGACCCAUCACUUGCCUUGUUGCACUUCUCUGGACCUGCUCCUGCACCUCAGUUUCUUUCCUGAAUUGAGGGGCCAGAAGUGAGAACAGCAGAGGAGGCUUUCCAGACGCCACAAAGGUGGCUUCCCUCCCUGAGGAAAAAACACCAACAGGGCCUGUCUGGCAAAGAGAUCAGCUCCAUGGGAAUCCCUAUCUGGCACAUGGGUAGAACUGGAAAGGUGUUUCCAAGAUCCUGAAAACAUCUGCCAGGUCUCAAACUCCUGUGUCUGUCCCAGGCAAUUAAGCAAAGAUCAUUCAACGUGCCCCAGUAUCAAAGGAAAUCCCACUCUUGGCUAAGGCUCUUGACUGUGCCUUGGGGAGCUGUGCUCCAGGGCAGAGGCCCCUCUGCUUCUCCUGUCCAGAAAUGAGAAGCUGCUUCAAUAUACUGGCUGCAGGCCUGAGGUGGGGUAUUUAUCUUGGCAUGGCUCCCUUUGGAUCUCGUGUGCACCCAUGGUCAAACACCCUGUGGAAUGUGUACUCUGCCCACUGAAGACCAUGGCACCUUCCCUUCCAGCCCAACAUGCACAGCGAAGAUGGUGUUGGGCCAGAUGCAAAGCCUGGCCUGGUACUGUGUGCUGUAGAGAAAGACUGGGUAUUACAAAACCAUGCUUCUUAAUAUCAAAAAUGCCCAACAAGAGAGACCUUGAAAAUCCUUGCAAAAAAAAGAGGGAAAUUAUGGGGGAAUGAAUGAAGGUAAAUUAGCUACAACAAAUGCUUUAAGGAAAGCUGCUACUUAGAGAGAAAAAGGGGAAUGGGCUUUCAGCAAAGGAAGAGCUCAAAGGUCAGCACAAGGAGACAAAUGACAGUAGAGAAACCAAAUGACAGACAGACAGGACCAACAAAGAGAGAAGUCCUUGGCCUGGAGUACAACGUGCUUGUUGAAAAUGUUUUAGCAGUGCUAAAGUGAGGCUGGGUACCAAGCUGGAAAAAUCUCUUCUCCAGAGACCGGGACCCAAGAGUGGGUGAGUCCCUGCAGGAAGAGAAUGGUACGUCCUGCUUUUUCAACAUAUAUAAUGUUCUUUUCAGAGAGCUGCUCAAGGACCUUGAGCAGGACUGCCUUCCUGCAGUCUACAGAAUUCAUUCCCAUCAGUGAGGUUAUGGAAAAAUCAUAGCAGUAGAAAGGAGGUUGGUUGUCUGUCCCAAGAUUGCAUAAAGCAGUGCAACAACUGUGUACCCAUCCUUCCUUCUUUUUUCUUGAGAGCAUCCCUUCCUCUACUGAACAUGCUCUGUGGGAACGUCUGGCUUGACCUCCCAGAAACUGUUCUUUGUUGUGUGUCCUGGGUUGCAGUGUAUUCUAUUACCAUCCUCAGGAGCUGUUGAAAUCACGUGGG